rnacentral:rRNA from 1 species
UACGGAGGGUGCAAGCGUUGUUCGGAAUUACUGGGCGUAAAGCGCGUGUAGGCGGUCAGGUAAGUCAGAUGUGAAAGCCUUCCGCUCAACGGAAGAAGUGCAUUUGAAACUACCUGGCUAGAGUACGGGAGAGGAGAGUGGAAUUCCCGGUGUAGAGGUGAAAUUCGUAGAUAUCGGGAGGAACACCAGUGGCGAAAGCGGCUCUCUGGUCCGAUACUGACGCUGAGACGCGAAAGCGUGGGGAGCAAACAGG